ensembl:lncRNA
UAUGGCGUGAUGAGGUUAUGGUGGUUGUCAUUGUCUCUCCUUACUGUAGUUCCUAUGCAUUUGCAACUGCUGAAAACAUUUAGGACUCCAGAUAGUACUCCAUGUCAAGAAAUACUGUGCCAGGACUGGGCUUUACUUCAGUCUGUUCUUAGAAAACAUGGCUACAUGUGCAGAUGCUUUAUAGUAAAGUGUGUCUACAUUGCAGAAGUGCACAGGAUCAAACAUAUGCCAUGCAAUUGGGUUUACAGAGGACAUCAUAAAGAGAAAAUACAGACUGCAGUUUUACCACCAAAGCUUAUUAGGAGCUUGCUAAGAGGGAAGAUGCAUUCAUCUAAACAAGGCAUCACUUCAAAAACAUGUCUUAUAAUUGGUGUAUUCCAUGUUAAAAGAAAAACGGUCACAAAACUUGACAAGCAACCAAAAGAAAAACCUUCUCACUGCACUAGUGACCACCAUUCUGGUCAAACCGCAGACGGAUUUCCAGGGAAAGCUUUUGAAGGCGCCCCUGAAUGGAGUUUAUGGAAACACGUAUCAGAUCUAGCUAAGAUGCUAAGGAAUACCUUCCCAUCAGCCAUACGGUUAAGAAUAUUUAUUAAUCAAAAGGGUUCAACCAUCUGUCCCAUAUACCAGGCUACAAGAUAUUCACAACCGCACCAAGGAGACGAAAUCGAAAUAAAUGAGUUAGCAGAAAGUGCUAUGAAAUUUGCAUCCAAUUCUAGUAACGAUGCUGUCGUCCACAUGGAAAAAAUACUGACGUUAUUAGGAAUGGGACUUUUCCAAAUGACAGCAAAGGACAGCAUAGUUACAGCAGAGACUGAGACAUUAGCGACAGAUAAGAUACAAACAAAGGCUUCAAAACACAGAAACCAAAUUCCAGUGAAAAUGUUUAGGCAAAGAAGAAGCAUAUGGAAACCAAGGCCAACGAUUGUCUUAAAAGAUGAUGACUCGAAUGAAGGUGAAGACAAGAAGACUUCAACCAUGUCAUUCAGUCAAACGGUUUUAAAACCACAUAAUGCAGAAGAUAAAACAAAAGAAUCAAGCAUAACAGAGAGCUUCGAGACAGAAAGCACUAAAGAUCUUCUGUUGAGUACAGAACAUCUUGAAAUGAAUACAAGUGAAUUAGAAAAUCUGGCCACCUCCAGAAAAUAUACAAAUACUAUCACACUAACAAAACAACAGAUGGGAAUUACAACAGUGCCGACUGAAACAGACUGCACAACAGAACUGGAGAGGCCAUCAGCAGAAAAUGAAGGAAGUGAGAAGAAAAUAUCUUCAGGGGGCAAAGAAAUCAGGCCAACAGUGGGAACAGUUCAGGAAACCACAAAAUUUGGUCAAAAACACCAGACAAGCUUCAGUGGAAUUAGAUUAACGAUGGCAAGAGCAACAUUGGAAAAAGAAAACAGUGUAUCUGAUGUAAAACACAAGGAUGAGAAAGAAUACUCUGUGCAAAGAGAGGACUGGACAGCAAUGGAGAAGUUGAUCUUGGUUACAAGUCAACCUGACAUUUUAAUGACAAAAGAAUCCCGAACAAAUAAACCAGUAACAACAAACACAUUCAGAGGGAAUAAACAUACUGUCAUGCUGACAGAAAAAGAGACUGGAAUGACAACAGAGUUUCCUGAAACAGAAUGCACAACCGAAAUUGAGUUACAAACACUUGAAGAUAAAAAACCUGUGGAGAGAAUGGAUACCAUAUACAAAGAAAGUCAGUCAGAGCCUGUUAAUUUAAAUACACAACAUCUCGAGACAGAAGGAACAAAUGAACCAGUGACACCAAAAACAUUCAAAAAAAUUGCAGAUGACUUUACAGCGACCAGACAAGAGACAUUAAUGACAACAGAGGUUCUUAAAACUGAGUGUACAACAGAAAUAGAGUUGAAAACAACAGAAGAUAAAACACCUGUGAUGACAACAGCUACCACACAUGAAGAAAGACAGUCAGAACCUGUUGAUUUCAUUUCAGAAAAUAUUAAGUCAAAAGGUACAACUGAACCAGAAACACCAACCACUUCCAUAAAAUAUGCAGAAGAGUUCAUUUCAACCAGAAAAGAGACAUUAAUAACAACAAAGGCUUUUGAAACUGAAUGCACAACAGAAAUUGAGUUACAAGCACCAGACGAGAAAACACCUGUGGAGAGAACAGAUACCACACAUGAAGAAAGACAGUCAGAAUCUGUUGAUUUCAUUUCAGAAAAUAUUGAGUCAAAAGGUACAAUUGCACGUGCAACACCAGCCAUGUCCACAAAAUAUGCAGGAGAUUUCACAAUGAACAGAGAAGAGGCAUUAUUGACAACAGAGACUCGUGAAACAGAAUGUACAACAGAAAUAGAGUUACAAGCACCAGAAGAGAAAACACCUGUGAUGACGACAGCUACCACAUAUGAAGAAAGACAGUCAGAACCUUUUGAUUUCAUUUCAGAAAAUAUUAAGUCAAAAGGUACAAUUGAACCACCAACACCAACCACUUCCAUAAAAUAUGCAGAGGAAUUCAUUUUAAGCAGACAAGAGACAUUAAUGACAACAGAGACUCUUGAAACUGAAUGCACAACAGAAAUUGAGUUACAAACACCAGAAGAGAAAACACCUGUGUUGACGAAAGCUACCACAUUUGAAGAAAGACAGUCAGAAUAUAAUGGUUUACUUUCAGAACAUCUAACAAAAAGUACAACUGAACCAGCAACACCAACCACUUCCAUAAAAUAUGCAGAAGAUUCCAUUUCAACCGGACAAGAGACAUUAAUCACAACAGAGACUUUUGAAACUGAAUGCACAACAGAAAUUGAGUUACAAGCACCAGAAGAUAAAACACCUGUGAUGAAAACAGGUACCACACAUGAAGAAAGAAAGUCAGAACCUGUUGAUUUCAUUUCAGAAAAUAAUGAGUCAAAAGGAACAAAUGAACCACUUACACAAACCACUUCCAUAAAAUAUGCAGAAGAUUUAAUUUCAAGCAGACAAGAGACAUUAAUGAAAACAGAGGCUCUUGAAACUGAAUGUACAACAGAAAUUGAGUUACAAGCACUAGAAGAUAAAACACCUGUGCAGAGAACAGAUACCACAUAUGAAGAAAGACAGUCAGAUUAUAAUGGUUUACCAUCAGAACAUCUAACAAAAAGUACAAAUGAACCAGUUACACCAACCACUUCCAUAAAAUAUGCAGAAGAUUUAAUUUCAAUCAGACAAGAGACAUUAAUGACAACAGAGACUUUUGAAACUGAAUGUACAACAGAAAUUGAGUUACAAACACCAGAAGAGAAAACACCUGUGGAAGGAACAGAUACCACAAAUGAAGAUAGACAGUCAGAUUAUAAUGGUUUACUUUCAGAACAUUUAACAAAAAGUGCAAAUAAACCAGUUACACCAACCACUUCCAUAAAAUAUGCAGAAGAUUCCAUUUCAACCGGACAAGAGACAUUAAUCACAACAGAGACUUUUGAAACUGAAUGCACAACAGAAAUUGAGUUACAAGCACCAGAAGAUAAAACACCUGUGGAGAGAACAGAUACCACACAUGAAGAAAGACAGUCAGAACCUGUUGAUUUCAUUUCAGAAAAUAAUGAGACAAAAGGUACAACUGAACCAGUUACACCAACCACUUCAAUAAAAUAUGAAGAAGAUUUCAUUUCAAGCAGACAAGAGACAUUAAUAACAACAGAGGCUCUUGAAACUGAAUGUACAACAGAAAUUGAGUUGCAAACACCAGAAGAGAAAACACCUGUGGAGAGAACAGAUACUACACAUGAAGAUAGACAGUCAGAUUAUAAUGGUUUACUUUCAGAACAUUUAACAAAAAGUACAAAUGAACCAGUUACACCAACCACUUCCAUAACAUAUGCAGAAAAUUUCAUUUCAAGCAGACAAGAGACAUUAAUGACAACAGAGACUCUUGAAACUGAAUGUACAACAGAAAUUGAAGUACAAACACCAGAAGAGAAAACACCUGUGGAGAGAACAGAUACCACACAUGAAGAAAGACAGUCAGAACCUGUUGAUUUCAUUUCAGAAAAUAAUGAGUCAAAAGGAACAAAUGAACCACUUACACAAACCACUUCCAUAAAAUAUGCAGAAGAUUUAAUUUCAAGCAGACAAGAGACAUUAAUGAAAACAGAGGCUCUUGAAACUGAAUGUACAACAGAAAUUGAAGUACAAACACCAGAAGAGAAAACACCUGUGAUGAAAACAGCUACCACACAUGAAGAAAGACAGUCAGAAUAUAAUGGUUUACCAUCAGAACAUCUAACAAAAGGGACAAAUGAACCAGUUACACCAACCACUUUCAUAAAAUAUGCAGAAAAUUUAAUUUCAACCAGACAAGAGACAUUAAUGACAACAGAGGCUCUUGAAACUGAAUGCACAACAGAAAUAGAGUUACAAGCACCAGAAGAGAAAACACCUGUUAUGACGCCACCUACCACACAUGAAGAAAGACAGUCAGAACCUGUUGAUUUCAUUUCAGAAAAUAAUGAGUCAAAAGGAACAAAUGAACCACUUACACAAACCACUUCCAUAAAAUAUGCAGAAGAUUUCAUUUCAAGCAGACAAGAGACAUUAAUGAAAACAGAGACUCUUGAAACUGAAUGUACAACAGAAAUUGAAGUACAAACACCAGAAGAGAAAACACCUGUGAUGAAAACAGCUACCACACAUGAAGAAAGACAGUCAGAAUAUAAUGGUUUACCAUCAGAACAUCUAACAAAAGGGACAAAUGAACCAGUUACACCAACCACUUUCAUAAAAUAUGCAGAAAAUUUAAUUUCAACCAGACAAGAGACAUUAAUGACAACAGAGGCUCUUGAAACUGAAUGCACAACAGAAAUAGAGUUACAAGCACCAGAAGAGAAAACACCUGUUAUGACGCCACCUACCACACAUGAAGAAAGACAGUCAGAACCUGUUGAUUUCAUUUCAGAAAAUAAUGAGUCAAAAGGAACAAAUGAACCACUUACACAAACCACUUCCAUAAAAUAUGCAGAAGAUUUCAUUUCAAGCAGACAAGAGACAUUAAUGAAAACAGAGACUCUUGAAACUGAAUGUACAACAGAAAUUGAAGUACAAACACCAGAAGAGAAAACACCUGUGGAGAGAACAGAUACCACACAUGACGAAAAACUGUCAGAAAAUACUGAGUCAAAAGGUACAAUUGAACCAGCAACACCAACCACUUCAAUAAAAUAUGCAGAAGAUUUCAUUUCACCCAGACAAGAGACAUUAAUAACAACAGAGGCUCUUGAAACUGAAUGUACAACAGAAAUUGAGUUGCAAACACCAGAAGAUAAAACACCUGUGGAGAGAACAGAUACCACACAUGAAGAAAGACAGUCAGAACCUGUUGAUUUCAUUUCAGAAAAUAAUGAGUCAAAAGGAACAAAUGAACCACUUACACCAACCACUUCCAUAAAAUAUGCAGAAGAUUUCAUUUCACCCAGACAAGAGACAUUAAUGACAACAGAGGCUCUUGAAACUGAAUGUACAACAGAAAUUGAGUUACAAACACCAGAAGAGAAAACACCUGUGAAGAGAACAGAUACCACACAUGAAGAAAUACAGUCAGAACCUGUUGAUUUCAUUUCAGAAAAUAAUGAGUCAAAAGGUACAACUGAACCAGCAACACCAACCACUUCCAUAAAAUAUGCUGAAGAUUUAAUUUCAAGCAGACAACAGAUAUUAAUGACAACAGAGGCUCUUGAAACUGAAUGCACAACAGAAAUUGAGUUACAAGCACCAGAAGAUAAAACACCUGUGGAGAGAACAGAUACCACACAUGAAGAAAGACAGUCAGAACCUGUUGAUUUCAUUUCAGAAAAUAAUGAGUCAAAAGGAACAAAUGAACCACUUACACCAACCACUUCCAUAAAAUAUGCAGAAGAUUUCAUUUCACCCAGACAAGAGACAUUAAUGACAACAGAGGCUCUUGAAACUGAAUGUACAACAGAAAUUGAGUUACAAACACCAGAAGAGAAAACACCUGUGAAGAGAACAGAUACCACACAUGAAGAAAUACAGUCAGAACCUGUUGAUUUCAUUUCAGAAAAUAAUGAGUCAAAAGGUACAACUGAACCAGCAACACCAACCACUUCCAUAAAAUAUGCAGAAGAUUUAAUUUCAAGCAGACAACAGAUAUUAAUGACAACAGAGGCUCUUGAAACUGAAUGCACAACAGAAAUUGAGUUACAAGCACCAGAAGAUAAAACACCUGUGGAGAGAACAGAUACCACACAUGAAGAAAGACAGUCAGAACCUGUUGAUUUCAUUUCAGAAAAUAAUGAGUCAAAAGGUACAACUGAACCACUUACACCAACCACUUCCAUAAAAUAUGCAGAAGAUUUCAUUUCACCCAGACAAGAGACAUUAAUGACAACAGAGGCUCUUGAAACUGAAUGUACAACAGAAAUUGAGUUACAAACACCAGAAGAGAAAACACCUGUGAAGAGAACAGAUACCACACAUGAAGAAAUACAGUCAGAACCUGUUGAUUUCAUUUCAGAAAAUAAUGAGUCAAAAGGUACAACUGAACCAGCAACACCAACCACUUCCAUAAAAUAUGCAGAAGAUUUAAUUUCAAGCAGACAACAGAUAUUAAUGACAACAGAGGCUCUUGAAACUGAAUGCACAACAGAAAUUGAGUUACAAGCACCAGAAGAUAAAACACCUGUGGAGAGAACAGAUACCACACAUGAAGAAAGACAGUCAGAACCUGUUGAUUUCAUUUCAGAAAAUAAUGAGUCAAAAGGUACAACUGAACCAGCAACACCAACCACUUCCAUAAAAUAUGCAGAAGAUUUAAUUUCAAGCAGACAACAGAUAUUAAUGACAACAGAGGCUCUUGAAACUGAAUGCACAACAGAAAUUGAGUUACAAGCACCAGAAGAUAAAACACCUGUGGAGAGAACAGAUACCACACAUGAAGAAAUACAGUCAGAACCUGUUGAUUUCAUUUCAGAAAAUAAUGAGUCAAAAGGUACAACUGAACCAGCAACACCAACCACUUCCAUAAAAUAUGCAGAAGAUUUAAUUUCAAGCAGACAACAGAUAUUAAUGACAACAGAGGCUCUUGAAACUGAAUGCACAACAGAAAUUGAGUUACAAGCACCAGAAGAUAAAACACCUGUGGAGAGAACAGAUACCACACAUGAAGAAAUACAGUCAGAACCUGUUGAUUUCAUUUCAGAAAAUAAUGAGUCAAAAGGUACAACUGAACCAGCAACACCAACCACUUCCAUAAAAUAUGCAGAAGAUUUAAUUUCAAGCAGACAACAGAUAUUAAUGACAACAGAGGCUCUUGAAACUGAAUGCACAACAGAAAUUGAGUUACAAGCACCAGAAGAUAAAACACCUGUGGAGAGAACAGAUACCACACAUGAAGAAAUACAGUCAGAACCUGUUGAUUUCAUUUCAGAAAAUAAUGAGUCAAAAGGUACAACUGAACCAGCAACACCAACCACUUCCAUAAAAUAUGCAGAAGAUUUAAUUUCAAGCAGACAACAGAUAUUAAUGACAACAGAGGCUCUUGAAACUGAAUGCACAACAGAAAUUGAGUUACAAGCACCAGAAGAUAAAACACCUGUGGAGAGAACAGAUACCACACAUGAAGAAAUACAGUCAGAACCUGUUGAUUUCAUUUCAGAAAAUAAUGAGUCAAAAGGUACAACUGAACCAGCAACACCAACCACUUCCAUAAAAUAUGCAGAAGAUUUAAUUUCAAGCAGACAACAGAUAUUAAUGACAACAGAGGCUCUUGAAACUGAAUGCACAACAGAAAUUGAGUUACAAGCACCAGAAGAUAAAACACCUGUGGAGAGAACAGAUACCACACAUGAAGAAAUACAGUCAGAACCUGUUGAUUUCAUUUCAGAAAAUAAUGAGUCAAAAGGUACAACUGAACCAGCAACACCAACCACUUCCAUAAAAUAUGCAGAAGAUUUAAUUUCAAGCAGACAACAGAUAUUAAUGACAACAGAGGCUCUUGAAACUGAAUGCACAACAGAAAUUGAGUUACAAGCACCAGAAGAUAAAACACCUGUGGAGAGAACAGAUACCACACAUGAAGAAAUACAGUCAGAACCUGUUGAUUUCAUUUCAGAAAAUAAUGAGUCAAAAGGUACAACUGAACCAGCAACACCAACCACUUCCAUAAAAUAUGCAGAAGAUUUAAUUUCAAGCAGACAAGAGAUAUUAAUGACAACAGAGGCUCUUGAAACUGAAUGCACAACAGAAAUUGAGUUACAAGCACCAGAAGAUAAAACACCUGUGGAGAGAACAGAUACCACACAUGAAGAAAGACAGUCAGAAUAUAAUGGUUUACCAUCAGAACAUCUAACAAAAGGGACAAAUGAACCAGUUACACCAACCACUUCCAUAAAAUAUGCAGAAGAUUUCAUUUCAAGCAGACAAGAGACAUUAAUGACAACAGAGGUUCUUGAAACUGAAUGUACAACAGAAAUUGAGUUACAAACACCAGAAGAGAAAACACCUGUGAUGAAAACAGCUACCACACAUGAAGAAAGACAGUCAGAAUAUAAUGGUUUACCAUCAGAACAUCUAACAAAAGGGACAAAUGAACCAGUUACACCAACCACUUCCAUAAAAUAUGCAGAAGAUUUAAUUUCAAGCAGACAAGAGAUAUUAAUGACAACAGAGGCUCUUGAAACUGAAUGCACAACAGAAAUUGAGUUACAAGCACCAGAAGAUAAAACACCUGUGGAGAGAACAGAUACCACACAUGAAGAAAUACAGUCAGAACCUGUUGAUUUCAUUUCAGAAAAUAAUGAGUCAAAAGGAACAAAUGAACCACUUACACCAACCACUUCUAUAAAAUAUGCAGAUUUCAUUUCACCCAGACAAGAGACUUUAAUGACAACAGAGGCUCUUGAAACUGAAUGUACAACAGAAAUUGAGUUAGAAGCACCAGAAUGGAAAACACAUGUGAUGACGACAGCUACCACACAUGAAGAAAUACAGUCAGAAUAUAAUGGUUUACCAUCAGAACAUCUAACAAAAAGGACAAAUGAACCAGUUACACCAACCACUUCCAUAAAAUAUGCAGAAGAUUUAAUUUCAAGCAGACAACAGAUAUUAAUGACAACAGAGGCUCUUGAAACUGAAUGCACAACAGAAAUUGAGUUACAAGCACCAGAAGAUAAAACACCUGUGGAGAGAACAGAUACCACACAUGAAGAAAUACAGUCAGAACCUGUUGAUUUCAUUUCAGAAAAUAAUGAGUCAAAAGGUACAACUGAACCACUUACACAAACCACUUCCAUAAAAUAUGCUGAAGAUUUAAUUUCAAGCAGACAACAGAUAUUAAUGACAACAGAGGCUCUUGAAACUGAAUGCACAACAGAAAUUGAGUUACAAACACCAGAAGAUAAAACACCUGUGGAGAGAACAGAUACCACACAUGAAGAAAGACAGUCAGAACCUGUUGAUUUCAUUUCAGAAAAUGUUCAGUCAAAAAGUAUAAAUGAACCAGUGACACCAACCACUUCCAGAGAACAAGAACAUAUGGAUACAUUGAAAGAACAAGAGAUAAAAAUGACAACAGGACUUCCUGAAACGGAAUAUACAACAGAAUUCAAAUUACAAACACCAGAAAAUAAAACACCUGUGGAGAGAACAGAUACCACAGAAAGACUCUCAGAACUUGAUGACUUAAGGUCAGAAGGUCGAGCAACAAAAAGUACAAAUGAGCCAGUGACACUAACCAUUCCCAGAGAACACAAUGUCACACCAACAGAGCAUGAAAUUACAUUAGUGCUUCCUGAUACAGGAGGUGCAACAGACUCAAAGAGCUCAACAGAAAAACCUGAAGAUGUUCUGGAGAUACAAUCAAUGGAAUGGAAAGAAAUGAAGCCAACGAUGGCAGUGCCAGGGGUGGAAACUCAAUCACCACCAAGCAUAGAAACAGAAGCGUCAUGGCAUACAGAUGAAGAUGGCUGCUUUGGACUAAUUCAUCGCACCAGCUCUGGAUUGAAAAGAUGCCAGAAAAAGAUGAUGAAAAUUAGUGAUUUAAAGUCCGAACACCUUGCAACUGAAGGUAUAAAUGAAUUAGUUACAGCAAGAAAAUAUGCAGAUUUAAUUAGGACUGAACAUGAGAAAAGAAUGACAACACAGAGUCUUGAAACAGAAAGUAAAACGGAAAUUGAAUUACAAACACCAGAAGAUAAAACACCCGUGAAGAGAACAGAUACCACACAUGAAGAAACACAGUCGAAUUAUGAUGGUUUAAGUUCAGAACAUCUUGCAACAAAAGGUACUAAUGAAUUAGUUACAUCCACCCCUUUAAGAAGACAAGAACAGACUGUCAUAGUGACUAAACAUCAGAUAGAAAUGACAACAGAGCUUCCUGAAAGAGAAUGCACAAAAGAAAUUAAGAUAAUGACACCAGAAGAUAAAUCACCACCAAGCAAAGAAGCAGAAGGAUCACUGCCUACAGAUGAAGAUGGUUGCUUUGGACUAAUUCAUCGCACCAGCUCUGGGUUGAAAAGAUGCCAGAAAAAGAUGAUGAAAAUUAGUGAUUUAAAGUCAGAACACCUUGCAACUGAAGGUAUAAAUGAAUUAGUUACAGCAAGAAAAUAUGCAGAUUUAAUUAGAACUGAACAUGAGAAAAGAAUGACAACACAGAAUCUUGAAACAGAAAGUACAACGGAAAUUGAGUUACAAACACCAGAAGAUAAAACACCUGUGAAGAGAACAGAUACCACACAUGAAGAAGGACAGUUGAAAUAUGAUGAAGAUAAAGAUGGCUGCUUUGGACUUAUUCAUCGCAUCACCUCUGGGAUGAAAAGAUGCCAGGAGAAGAUGAUUAAAAUUAUGUUAUACAAUACCACACCAAAACCACAAGAGCCUUCAGCUGUGAAACAUAAGCAAGAGACAACAGAGCCAUCUUUCAUAUUGCAGAAUGCACUGCAAUCAUCACCUCUGAGUAAAUAUCAGAGUUCUAAACAAAUUACCCGAAAUUAUAUUGAUAAAGGUAAUGCUGAAGAUGAAAAUAAUCACUUCUACUAUUUCAAUGGCAAGUUAAAAAGAGUUGAAAAUUAUGCAUUGGGGCUUGAGAAUGAUAGCAACACACUAACCAGACCAUAGGACAAACAUAGUGUUCUUGCAGUUACAUUGUAAUUACAUAAAUUAUGUAAUUGUAGUUAUGCAAUGUGGAAUUAAUGAUGAAAUGCCCACAGCUGGUUGCAAUUUAUUUAUUUAUUUAUUUAUUUAUUUAUUUAUUUAUUUAUUUAUUUAUUUAUUUAUUUAUUUAUUUUAACAUUACAUUUACAUAGAGAUCAAAUCAAAGUACAGACUGUUGGGUUUCCUGUCAUGGGUGUCACUUUAAAUUAAACAUAUAAUGUUAAAAUUGUAAAUAAAAUUCUAAAGUAAGUAUGCUUUUGGCA